ACAGAAGAACCAGAGAAAACAGAAUGUCUUGUUUGAGGAACAAUAAGAAGACCAAUUAGACCAAAAACUGAUUGGCAGGGAAUGAGCUUGCUAAUACUUGCCACUUCCCUGCCUGGUGGAAUAAUUAUAAAGAAAUCAAGUAUUUUGCCAACUUCAGAAGAAAGGAAUUGAGAAGAAUGAGAAAUAUUAACGCAGCAACUAGCACUACAGAGGACCACCCACGGCAAGGAAAAUUUUUCACAAUAGUGUCGUGCAACAGAACAACUUGGCCAGUAGAAGUUGCCACUCCCAAGAAAAACAAUACCUGGGAGAGUAGUAGAAAUGCCCAACAACCCCUGAAAGCAACAUAAGGAAAUCACAAGAAGAAAACUUCACAGGGAGCUGAAGAACAGGAACUAUGUGUUGCCUUGAUCAGUAUAUACCUUUCUACUCAUCAACUAUUUAUUUGUGGGAUUGUGUCCCAUGUUUAUGAGGCAUUUGUUUUGUUACUCCUGUUCUUACUGUAUCAUUUUAGUUAAAGUUGUUGCUUUGAGUUACUUGUAUUUACUGGCUAACAAUUUAGAAUAAAAUCAUUAAUCAAGUUUUGUGAGCUAUAUGGGUCAGGA